UACGUAGGGUGCGAGCGUUGCCCGGAUUUAUUGGGCGUAAAGGGCGCGUAGGCGGUGCCGCGCGUCGCGCGUGAAAUCUCCCGGCUUACCCGGGAGAGGUCGGGCGAUACGGCGGCACUCGAGCGCGGGAGAGGGAAGCGGAAUUCCCGGUGUAGUGGUGGAAUGCGUAGAGAUCGGGAGGAACACCAGUGGCGAAGGCGGCUUCCUGGACCGUGGCUGACGCUGAGGCGCGAAAGCGUGGGGAGCGAUCCGG
rnacentral:rRNA from 1 species